GUGUGGUGCGCGACAUAGUGCGGUGUCCGGGACGGUCCGAAGCAGACGACACUGAGUGCACGCGCGCCGAUGUUGGAGAAGGAAAACGACGACGCCGAAGAGCGUCGGGCACGAGAACGCGCGGCGUAUGAAACAACAAAAAGAAAAGCAACCAAUCAGAAAAGAACACGGGGCGUCAGGCAGCCAAUGCGAGAAUGCCAAAUCGGCCAGACGAGAAGAAAAAGGCUGGUGCGAAGGGCGACACGGAAGAGCACACGCAAGAGGACACGCAGGGAGACGCCGGGCAGACGCCAGGAGAGUCCCAGGAAGCGACGGCAGGAGGAGGUCAACCACCGGAGCGGGCGUUGAAGACGGGCCGUCGGGUUCCGGACCCGAGCCCACCAGGACUUCACCCGCCCGGAGCCUCCUGCCAACCUGUUCCUGUGCGUCGCCCGUCUACCUGAGCGUGCCGUCAGCUCCUCGAGGCCGGCGGUGAGCUUCUGCGCCAGUGGGCAGGACGAGAACGGUCGGGCUACGGGCCCGAGUUCUACGCCAGCUGCCCGGCCAAGACGCCACCCCCGUCGGCCGUGCCGUCUGCUGCCCGAGGCCGACGUUUGAGCUUCCGCGCCGUGGGCGAGAGGGGAGCAGUCGGGCUACGGGCCCGAGCUCUCUGCCCGGCCAGAACGCCGCCCUCGUCCACUCCUGCCACCCAGCCGCCAGCGUUACCUCGCCCAGCCAGAGCUAGCGCGCUCCCGGCGCCCGGUCGGUCAGCUAACGCCGCAACCUUUGGUGAGACCGGCGCCACUCCUUUCGCCAGCUUGUCGCCGCGUCGCCGCGUCGAGACUCUGACGCGUCCCCGCCCUCGUGGCAAGCCCGGACUCUCGCACUCGUUAACCUCAUGCUAGCCCUAGGUGUGUACCUUACCGCAAUGUCCGCAUGAGUGUUUAUUUUAUGCAUGCUUUCUGCUUCCUUCCAUUUACUUUAUGCCUCUUUUUAGUGUGAUUAAAAGUCUUUGUGUGUGCGUCCAAA